ACUCAAAGGAAUAGACGGGGACCCGCACAAGCGGUGGAGCAUGUGGUUCAAUUCGAUGCUACGCGAAGAACCUUACCAGGCCUUGACAUGUAUACAGCGGAACUCAGAGAUGAGUUCUUCAUUUAGUUGGGUAUACACAGGUGUUGCAUGGCUGUCGUCAGCUCGUGUCGUGAGAUGUUGGGUUAAGUCCCGCAACGAGCGCAACCCUCAUUCAUAGUUACCAUCAGGUUAAGCUGGGGACUCUAUGGAAACUGCCGGUGACAAGCCGGAGGAAGGUGGGGACGACGUCAAGUCAUCAUGGCCCUUACGGCCUGGGCUACACACGUGCUACAAUGGCAGUCACAGUGGGUUGCGAAAUCGCAAGAUGGAGCCAAUCCCCAAAAGCUGCCCCAGUUCAGAUUGAGGGCUGCAACUCGCCCUCAUGAAGUCGGAAUCGCUAGUAAUCGUGGAUCAGCACGCCACGGUGAAUACGUUCCCGGGUCUUGUACACACCGCCCGU
rnacentral:rRNA from 1 species